rnacentral:lncRNA from 1 species
AUUCAUACAAAAUACAAUACUUAUAGAAGUCUCAAGAUAUAUAGAUGAAACACAUAAUUAUAUCCAAAACAUCAACAUUAACAAGCAUCUAUCAACUAUUCUUAAAAGAACCCACAUCCAUCAAGUAUAUAUUAUUGUUACACAAUUGGUACAUAUAAUCAAAAUUGACCAUCAAAAACCAAUGCACUGAUUAAGGAUUACAAUCAUCAUCACAAUUCAAAGGAUCAAGAUCGUCAAAUGUAGUAGCACAAGGUGUCACAACUAAUUGUGAUGAAAUCAACUUCCGCAACUCCUCAAUGACAAUAGGAAUAAACUGCUUUUUAAGUGUGGGAAUUAAUUGCUUCACAAACUCAUCAAAAUCUGCAGUUGGUUCUAAUUCAUGAGAAGCUGCUGAUGAUGCCUUUCAAGAAGAAGACCUUGUCUGUGGUAGCCUUUUGCUUCAGAUCCAAGACCAAAUACACUUUGGUGUUUUGUCCUCUAGCAGCUAGGUAAUAUGCUUCAUAUUGAUCAAUAUUAGAUUGU